GUAACAUUUUUAGUUGCUUCCUCAGGAUAAAAAUGUGGUGACCGUAUUUAGUGCCCCAAACUAUUGUUACCGAUGUGGGAACAUGGCAGCUAUUUUAGAGAUUGGAGAGAAUAUGGACCAGAAUUUCCUUCAAUUUGAUCCUGCACCCCGGCAAAUUGACCCGGACACAACACCCAAGACCCCUGAUUAUUUUUUGUAAUUUUUAUAAUUCAGUGCUGGUUUGUAAUUUCUGUUUGCUGCUGUAUCCUUGUAGAUGUGUCCUAAAAAAGGAGGAGCUUUUGUUGUUUUAAAUUGAGGUUGCUCGACAACAUCAUUCUUUUGUUUGGAGUUUGUGCUGCUGCUGCUUUGUUGAUGUGGUCAAGGAACUCACAGGAGUAUUGACAAAGGCACCAAUGGCCUGUUAUCUUGUAUAUGUUUCAAGAGGAGGAAGCGGCAAUAACAUUUUUAUAUCUUGUUCAGUAAGUAAUUUUAAAAUUCUCAACUGAAAAGCAGAAAUUCUUUGAAAAAAUUUUCCUCCAUUGCAAAAAAUAUACCAUACUGCCAGUAUUUGUAGUAUAAUUAUAAGAUGCUCCCCAGCUGCUUAUGCAUUUUAUGUCAUGGAGAGGUCUGGAAAUUCACAAAGCUUAAGUUGUUCAGCUCUUCGGUUUGGUCUCUUUCUUGAAUCCUGAAAGCUAGUAUGUUCCCAGAACUACGACUGUCAACUGUGCGGACGAUAUGAUGAGAAUGCAGCUUUCAAGACACUUGCAGUUGGCAGGCAAAUAUUUUCGCUUAAGAGGAUAGAGAAUGCAUAUUCCCCCUGCAGGAUAUUUGAACGACUUAAUUUAAAGAGUACUUCAUAUUUAA